rnacentral:rRNA from 1 species
AGGACGAACGCUGGCGGCGUGCCUAACACAUGCAAGUCGAGCGGAAAGGCCUCCUUCGGGAGGUACUCGAGCGGCGAACGGGUGAGUAACACGUGGGCAACCAACCCCUCACAUCGGGAUACCCCGGGGAAACUCGGAUCAAUACCGGAUAAUGCGCGACGCUGUUGGGCGUCGCACCAAAGGUAGCUUCGGCCUCUGGUGAGGGACGGGCCCGCGGCCCAUUAGCUUGUUGGUGGGGUAAUGGCCUACCAAGGCAACGAUGGGUAGCUGGUCUGAGAGGAUGAUCAGCCACACUGGGACUGAGAUACGGCCCAGACUCCUACGGGAGGCAGCAGUGGGGAAUAUUGGACAAUGGGCGAAAGCCUGAUCCAGCAAUGCCGCGUGGUGAAGAAGGUCUUCGGAUUGUAAAGCCCUUUCGGCGGGGACGAUGAUGACGGUACCGCAGAAGAAGCCCGGCUAACUCGUGCCAGCAGCCGC